rnacentral:rRNA from 1 species
CGCGGCCUAUCAGCUUGUUGGUGGGGUAAUGGCCUACCAAGGCGUCGACGGGUAGCCGGCCUGAGAGGGUGUACGGCCACAUUGGGACUGAGAUACGGCCCAGACUCCUACGGGAGGCAGCAGUGGGGAAUAUUGCACAAUGGGCGCAAGCCUGAUGCAGCGACGCCGCGUGGGGGAUGACGGCCUUCGGGUUGUAAACUCCUUUCGCCAAGGACGAAGCUUUAAGUGACGGUACUUGGAGAAGAAGCACCGGCUAACUACGUGCCAGCAGCCGCGGUAAUACGUAGGGUGCGAGCGUUGUCCGGAAUUACUGGGCGUAAAGAGCUCGUAGGUGGUUUGUCGCGUCGUUUGUGUAAGUCCGUAGCUUAACUGCGGGACUGCAGGCGAUACGGGCAUAACUUGAGUGCUGUAGGGGAGACUGGAAUUCCUGGUGUAGCGGUGGAAUGCGCAGAUAUCAGGAGGAACACCGAUGGCGAAGGCAGGUCUCUGGGCAGUAACUGACGCUGAGGAGCGAAAGCAUGGGGAGCGAACAGGAUUAGAUACCCUGGUAGUCCAUGCCGUAAACGGUGGGCGCUAGGUGUGAGUCCCUUCCACGGGGUUCGUGCCGUAGCUAACGCAUUAAGCGCCCCGCCUGGGGAGUACGG